UACGUAGGGGGCGAGCGUUGUCCGGAUUUAUUGGGCGUAAAGAGCGUGUAGGCGGCCAGGUAGGUCAGCUGUGAAAACUCGAGGCUCAACCUCGAGACGUCGGUUGAAACCACCUGGCUAGAGUUCGGUAGGGGAGACUGGAAUUCCUGGUGUAGCGGUGAAAUGCGCAGAUAUCAGGAGGAACACCGGUGGCGAAGGCGGGUCUCUGGGCCGAUACUGACGCUGAGGAGCGAAAGCGUGGGGAGCGAACAGG
rnacentral:rRNA from 1 species